GAUAGAAACUAGUAAUAAUAGUCAAAAAACUCGGCUAGACUAGCUCUGAUGUCAUUGAUAACUAUCUUUUUUCUGUUCCCUUUCUGUUCUAACGUUUCAAUUUUAUCGCUAAUACCCGUUUUUUAUCUUUCGGUAAAAAUAAGGGAGAGGCUCUUUCCCAAGAGCAGCGAACACCAACCUGUUGAACGUAUAGCAACCUGCUGUCAAGGCGGCUAAAUUUAGGUGGGUUCCCAUGGGAACCGUGACAGGCAUCCAAUCAGCAUGUGGAUAGCGAGAACUACGUUGACAGGUGCCAACGUAUUUUUCUCUGCUGAUCUUUACCGCGAUUGGAUUGAAUAAUUUGCAAGGCAGGUGAUACCAAGGGAAGCCUACCACGUGCCUAGCGACCGCCAGCUGGCUGUCAAUCACCCCUCGCCUCUUCUACAUACAAUUAAUUCGCCAUUUUUGCGAGCAUGAUCCGUUGCCGCGGUUGCCGGUGUUAGCGAGCGUUUUUUGGCGGGCUUUCUAGUCUCCCGCUCGCGAAUCCGCCGGCGUCUCAAACUUUGGCUGAAGCCGACGCCGCUAUAAUUACACCCGGUAGAAAAAAGUUAAAAACAAUAAAAAUACGUUCCUGGUUGUGUCUGGCGUUAAUUCGGAACCCGGUGAGUCGACAUUCCUAUCAGCCACCUAAUUUGUUCGCAGUAUUUCUCAUUCAAAUUUGCGGCUAUUAUCAUUUGGUGGAAGCCAUUAUCGUGUCACCUCAUUAUGCAUUCGCACUUCAGUGGGGCUCCGUUUUCGCUUGUGAUUGGCUGUUACCACCUGAAACAGAUGGUUCGCCGUGAUAUCGAGCCCGGAAGAUCUCACAGGAAUAAAUCCUUCAUUUGGGAAUGUUAGGAUCAGUUUUGACAGCUUAUACGCUUGUCCUUUAUAACCACUAUCGCACUAAUACUUAACCUGGAGACGAUCGAACCUACGCAAUCUCUUCAAAACAGAACACUCUACUCCAGCCUCUAUGAUAUAUUUACUCUGUUUGAAUUAGGCCCCGUUUCGUUUAUAGUUGCCUUUUCGAAUAACUUUCAUUAACUUUUGCGUGCGAGAUGCAACACCGAGUGUGGUACAUUUAUAAAAGUUAAUCAAGAGUUCGCGAAUGGGGACUCGACCAGUUUGAACAGGUAUUCAGUAUUAAGCCGGUAUCCUAGUUUUAGGACGAUAAACAAUUAUUUAAAAGUAAGCCAUACAAGACUGAGUUUAGAUCGAUGGUGGAAUUCUUAUUUAAAAUACACUUUUCAAAACCUCCCAUAGCAUACAUAAAUUUGAUGAAAACUUUCAAAAACUUUUACAAAAGCUAGAUAAUCUAACUAAACCGAUAAAUAUUCGAUGUACACUUUUUGAUUUUAUACAUAUGUCAGGGAAUAUUGUUUGGUAUUUCCCUCUGUGGAAUGUGAAUAUCCAUUGAUAUCGUGCAGUUCUCAAGCUAGGAGAUUAACUUUUAAUUUCUAUAAAAUUGAGCGGUAUUUUGUGUUGUGUGUAUUUCUGAUUUUGUUGCGUGUAACGUGUUUGGCCUCCCGGCUCACGCAAGACUCGAUGGGUUCUUCGGGAGGGCACGGAAUGAGAGUUUGCCGUUUCGCCUAAGGCUAACUACCGGAAACUUCUUGCCCGAAAGACAAGCACAAAACUGUUAUUACAGAUUUUACUAUCUUAAAGCUCUAAAACAUUUGUUAUUAAUGAAUUUUGGGGCUCGUCAGUUUUAUGUUUGAAUUAUUGGGAAUCAAGGAAGAGUAUUUGAAAAGUUUUUGUUUUCUUUUGCUGUCACAUUUGACGUUUUUGUUUGCUAGCGGGUUGUAACUUGGUGUUGUAUUGAAGUUGAAGUGAAGGCAAAUUUUCCAAGCUGGUAUAUCUAUAUUCAAAUCUCGUUAAAGAGUACACUCGUUAAGCUGUUACUAUUUCCUAGCGAAGCUUGGGCGGCGAGGUUUCAACUUUCUUGACAGGGGUAAAAGUUUUUAUAACUUCUUCAAACCUUCGAUAAGGAAGGAAUGAUGCAACAGAAAAUGUAAAACAUUAGAACUGAGUGUAUGAGAAUAAAUUAAAACCACGUACAGCGCUUACAAGGACUGUAAAUCCGUAGGUUUCGUGAUAACUCUGUUUAUUUGUUCACUGGAAGACGUUGUUUUCAAUUGACUUACUUUCAUAGAGUAGUAUAAGGGUUUCUCCUAGCAACGAAACACGUAUAACUACACUAAAACACUGAUGUCAUUGCAUAAAAGGUGGUCUAAAAUAAGCAAGGUUUUGAUUUUAGCUUAUCCCCGAGAACUGCCCUUCGUCAACAUUAUUGCGUGAUAGGUGGGAGGAUUUCCCACUUAUUUCCUGUGGAAUUUGUGAAUUUCGGUGUAUUUCACAAGGAUGACGCACUCCCCGGUCAGAUUUAGAAGCAGAGGCGAGGAUGGAAUCUGAUCGCAGCCUAGCAACGAACUCUACGAAAUGGGCAAUAUGAUUCAUAAUUGGAUUAAAACUGCUUCGGACCAACUACACCAAUACUUCUCUAUGAUUGUGGGGAAGCAGACCCAGAAUGGAAUGUUUAUGCUGUCGUGCGGGUUGAAAUUUUCCCAUAGCUCAUCACAAGUGACCAACCUGUCUUUAUCACCACGCGGUAUGCAAUAAUAAUAAGACGCGUAGCGUGACCGAACAUGUUGCACCGAUCAAGACCAUGAAACAAUACGCUACCUGCAGUACUUUUGAUUCGCACAGUCACUACCUGCCUUGUCAAACAAACCGGUCACCCUGUGCUAUCAUCGACGGUGUAAACAAGGCGCGGGAAUGACUGUUGUUUGGAUUCUUUGGAUUUGAUUACUCAGCAGUACAGCUGUUUGCUUCUCGUAAGAUGCUGACCUUUUGCGCAAUAAGACAUACUUAUUUUGGGGGGACUGAGUAAAUAACUCUUUUUUAAAGGCCUGUUUUUUUAAAAUAACGUCCAGCAUAAGAUUUCACCAAAAUUUAAGAACAUGCUAAAAACAUGUCAAGGCAGUAACAUUUUAUUUUACAGAGUCAUAUUAUUGUGUUCAUAAUAGCAACCAUAAAUAUCAUUGUUAUUGAUCAUGUAUAUGAUUCUCUUUCUAAUAAAUUUUGUAGUAUCAUAAGUUUAUAAACUAAAAUUUUAAGAACAUCCUAAAGAACGUUCGACGUUCUUAUAAAAGAGUGUACUCGAACAUCAAGAGUUCCCGUAAAGCUGUUGACACGAGAAUUCCCUGUAGUUUCGUUGUUUAUUCUGUCGUAAAAAAUGAAACACCUGUCA